GACGAACGCUGGCGGCGUGCUUAACACAUGCAAGUCGAACGAUGAAGCCGGAGCUUGCUCUGGUGAAUUAGUGGCGAACGGGUGAGUAACACGUGAGUAACCUGCCCUUGACUCUGGGAUAACUGCGGGAAACUGUAGCUAAUACCGGAUACGACCCUCGGAGGCAUCUCCUGGGGGUGGAAAGAAUUUCGGUCAAGGAUGGAGUCGCGGCCUAUCAGCUAGUUGGUGAGGUAAAGGCUCACUAAGGCGACGACGGGUAGCCGGCCUGAGAGGGUGACCGGCCACACGGGGACUGAGACACAGCCGGUACUCCUACGGGAGGCAGCAGGGGGGAAUAUUGCACAAUGGGCGCAAGGCUGAUGCAGCAACGCCGCGUGAGGGAUGACGGCCUUCGGGUUGUAAACCUCUUUUAGCAGGGAAGAAGCGAAAGUGACGGUACCUGCAGAAAAAGCACCGGCUAACUACGUGCCAGCCGCCGCCGUAA
rnacentral:rRNA from 1 species